GUGCAAUUAAAAAAAAACGUCUCGUUUUUAAAACUCACGAAACGAAACGACACGGUGAGUUGAGGACCAGUGCCAACCAAUGAGAAUCACGGUUUAGGAUAUAUAUAUAUAUAUAUAUUAUAUAUCUUAAUUUAUGUAUAUCUUAAAUCGUGGUGAGAACCGAACGGACUCAGAAAAACAAAAAAUAUUGAUAAUACCUUUCCGUUCAGUAUCUUAUAAAGACGGUAAAAAUAGGUACAAAAAUUGCACGAUAUGAAACCAUUUAAAAGGCGCUAAAAAAAUUCAAGUUACGUGUCGCAGUAAUCCGAACGAGGUGAUCAACUUUUGAGGCAUGUUUAAAAAUAGAAGGAAAUUCAGGGCACCACGUUGUCUUUCAUAAAAAGACAACUGGAAAAGUGUACUUUAAGACAAUAUUGUCGACGAAGGUUUGCUCAGCUAGGAACACCCCCUUUAACGACUCGUUUCCCGGUCACAAAUGGUAGGAAAUAACAUGUUAAAAUAGUAAUAUUUUAAAACCGAAUUUUCGACCCAUUUCGGGGCAUAUUGAACCUUGGGUCUCAAAAGAAUGUGCCCGACCCCCGCUUUAAGAUCACGAAAUAUUUAAGGGAAGCUAGGCACUGAUAGGGAGUUACUGCGUACUAAAUUUACAAACGUACAUAUGAUUUGGUGCAUUUAACCAGACGAGAUGGUCGACUUUACUUUAAAGUCAGAAUAAAAAUAGAAGGAAAUUCGGUGCACUGCGUUUUCUUUCAUCAAUAGACAGUUAGAGAAGUAUACUUUAAGGCAAUGUGAUAUGUCAAGCUCCUGUUUGUUGUUUUUUGAUUUUUCAAGAGGUUUUAGAAAUAAUCCGAAAAAACCGAAAGAAAAUUAUAGAUAAAACUGAGAAUAUUUACG